rfam:Canis lupus familiaris chromosome 24, whole genome shotgun sequence.
CGGGGGAGUCCGGAUCCUGGGCUGUGUCCUGGCGCCCUGUGCUCGGGAGCCUGCGCUGUUGGAUUCGCGCUCCCGCCCCGCAGCCCCCU